rnacentral:rRNA from 1 species
AGCGAACGCUGGCGGCAGGCUUAAUACAUGCAAGUCGAGCGCCUGUAGCAAUACAGGAGCGGCAGACGGGAGAGUAACACGUGGGAACGUGCCCUUUGGUUCGGAACAACACAGGGAAACUUGUGCUAAUACCGGAUAAGCCCUUACGGGGAAAGAUUUAUCGCCAAAGGAUCGGCCCGCGUCUGAUUAGCUAGUUGGUGGGGUAAUGGCCCACCAAGGCGACGACCAGUAGCUGGUCUGAGAGGAUGAUCAGCCUCAUUGGGACUGAGACACGGCCCAAACUCCUACGGGAGGCAGCAGUAGGGAAUAUUGGACAAUGGGGGCAACCCUGAUCCAGCCAUGCCGCGUGAGUGAUGAAGGCCUUAGGGUUGUAAAGCUCUUUCGGCGGGGAAGAUAAUGACGGUACCCGCAUAAGAAGCCCCGGCUAACUUCGUGCCAGCCGCCGCCGUAAUAC